GCUGGGUGUGGUGGUGCACACCUGUAGUCCCAGCUACUUGGGAGGCUGAGGCGGGAGGAUUGCUUGAACCCAGGAGGUGGUGGUUGCUGCAAUGAGCUGAGAUCACGCCACUGCACUCCAGCCUGGGUGACAGAGCGAGACUCUGUCUCUA
rnacentral:SRP_RNA from 1 species